AUACGUAGGUGACAAGCGUUAUCCGGAUUUACUGGGCGUAAAGGGCGUGUAGGCGGUCUUGCAAGUCAGAAGUGAAAUUCCUGAGCUCAACUCGGGCGCUGCUUCUGAAACUGCAGGACUUGAGUGCUGGAGGGGAUAGCGGAAUUCCUAGUGGAGCGGUAAAAUGCGCAGAUAUUAGGAAGAACACCGGUGGCGAAGGCGGCUAACUGGACAGUAACUGACGCUGAGGCGCGAAAGCGUGGGGAGCGAACAGGAUUAGAUACCCUGGUAGUCCACGCGGUAAACGAUGAAUGCUAGGUGUUGCGGGUAUCGACCCCUGCAGUGCCGGAGUAAACACAAUAAGCAUUCCGCCUGGGGAGUACGGCCGCAAGGUUGAAACUCAAAGGAAUUGACGGGG
rnacentral:rRNA from 1 species